UGCGUAGGCGGUCGGAUAAGUCUGACGUGAAAUCUUCGAGCUCAACUCGGAAACUGCAUCGGAAACUAUCCGGGCUAGAGGUUUGGAUGGGAGACUGGAAUUCUCGGUGUAGCAGUGAAAUGCGUAGAUAUCGAGAGGAACACCAGUGGCGAAGGCGAGUCUCUGGACAAAUCCUGACGCUGAGGCACGAAAGCUAGGGAGCAAACA
rnacentral:rRNA from 1 species